CCCUUAGAUGUUCUGGGCCGCACGCGUGCUACACUGAACGGUUCAAUGGGUAAGGUAGUGCGAAAGCAUGACCUAAUCUCGAAAUCCGUUCGUGCUGGGGAUAGAAGCUUGCAAUUAUCCUUCUUGAACGAGGAAUACCUUGUAAGCGUGAGUCAUCAUCUCACGCUGAAUGCGUCCCUGCCCUUUGUACACACCGCCCGUCGCUCCUACCGAUUGAGUGUUCCGGUGAGGCUUCGGGAGAACUGGGUGGAUUGUGUUUCACAAACUGCUCGGUUUGAACUUAGUCAAACCUUAUCACUUAGAGGAAGGAGAAGUCGUAACA
rnacentral:rRNA from 1 species